AACACAGAGCAGCUGGGUACUCCAGAAUAGGAUCAAUCAGAGAAUUGAUCUUACACCUCUAUUAUCACUAGAGGAGGAUGAGGACUGUGACGUUAUCAGCAGCAGGUUAUUUGAGCCAGUGUUUGAACCAGAAGAUGACACUCCUCUUCCUCCUGGUUAUACUGGCCCCUCUACUCCUCCUCCUCAUCCUCUUCAAGUCUCAUUUCAAGAAGGACACCCAUCAUUCACUAUAUGAGGACCAGACGAUCUCUUCGAUUAGUUGGUUGUAAUUUUUAGCAAUUUAUUUUUAACAUCAAGUUA